GAUAGAGUUGAUCAUGGCUCAGGACGAACGCUGGCGGCGUGCUUAACACAUGCAAGUCGAACGGAGAUUAUUUUAAGCUUGCUUUUGAUGAUCUUAGUGGCAAACGGGUGAGUAACGCGUAGGCAACCUGCCUUUCCGAUGGGGACAACAGUUCGAAAGGACUGCUAAUACCGAAUGAUGUAUAUCUUCCGCAUGGAGGACAUACCAAAGACGGCCUCUAUUUAUAAGCUGUCACGGAAAGAUGGGCCUGCGUCUGAUUAGCCAGUUGGCGGGGUAAUGGCCCACCAAAGCGACGAUCAGUAGCCGGUCUGAGAGGAUGAACGGCCACAUUGGGACUGAGACACGGCCCAAACUCCUACGGGAGGCAGCAGUGGGGAAUCUUCCGCAAUGGACGAAAGUCUGACGGAGCAACGCCGCGUGAGUGAAGAAGGUUUUCGAAUCGUAAAGCUCUGUUGUCAGGGACGAGCAGGGGGAGUAUCAACAACACUUCCUCAUGACGGUACCUGACGAGGAAGCCCCGGCUAACUUCGUGCCAGCAGCCGCGGUAAUACGAAGGGGGCUAGCGUUGCUCGGAAUGACUGGGCGUAAAGGGCGUGUAGGCGGUUUUGACAGUCAGAUGUGAAAUCCCCGGGCUUAACCUGGGAGCUGCAUUUGAGACGUUAAGACUAGAGUGUGAGAGAGGGUUGUGGAAUUCCCAGUGUAGAGGUGAAAUUCGUAGAUAUUGGGAAGAACACCGGUGGCGAAGGCGGCAACCUGGCUCAUUACUGACGCUGAGGCGCGAAAGCGUGGGGAGCAAACAGGAUUAGAUACCCUGGUAGUCCACGCUGUAAACGAUAUGUGCUAGAUGUUGGGUAACUUAGUUACUCAGUGUCGCAGUUAACGCGUUAAGCACACCGCCUGGGGAGUACGGCCGCAAGUUGAACUUAAGGAUUGAC
rnacentral:rRNA from 1 species